rnacentral:rRNA from 1 species
AGUGAACGCUGGCGGUAGGCCUAACACAUGCAAGUCGAACGGCAGCACAGUAAGAGCUUGCUCUUACGGGUGGCGAGUGGCGGACGGGUGAGGAAUACAUCGGAAUCUACUUUUUCGUGGGGGAUAACGUAGGGAAACUUACCCUAAUACCGCAUACGACCUACGGGUGAAAGCAGGGGAUCUUCGGACCUUGCGCGAUUGAAUGAGCCGCUGUCGGAUUAGCUAGUUGGCGGGGUAAAGGCCCACCAAGGCGACGAUCCGUAGCUGGUCUGAGAGGAUGAUCAGCCACACUGGAACUCGGACAGGGUCCAGACUCCUACGGGAGGCAGCAGUGGGGAAUAUUGGACAAUGGGCGCAAGCCUGGUCCAGCCAUACCGCGCGGGUGAAGAAGGCGUUCGGGUUGUAAAGCCCGUUUGUUGGGAAAGAAAAGCAGCAGGUUGAUACCCCGCUGUUCUGACGGUACCCGAAGAAGAAGCACCGGCUAACUUCGUG